GGGGGAACAGAGCGGAGCGGAGCGGCGGGGAACGGCGCCGUCCGCCGGGCGGAGGAGCGCGGGGCGGGCGGCGGCGGCGGGUGCCGGUGCACGGGAGAGGGGAGCAGGGCGCUCCCCGCGCGGGGUCGGAGCCCCGGCGCCGCCGCCCGCCCCGGAUCCCUAGGCUCCGCCGGGCGGGGCCUGUCUUUUCAGAGGCUUUGCUGUGACCAGUAGGAGAAUAUGAAUAGGACGAGUAGGGUGCUGGGAGUCCUCAUCAAGGCAUGCGGUUAUUUGCGUGCUGAGGAGGUGGGUGUCGUGUACCAGCCAGCCAGCAGCCCAGGGACGCCUAAGCCACCUGAGCCAGCACCAUCAAGGAACCUUCUAUGCGUGGUGGACUCCAAGAUGUAGCAACCCCCUUCUUGGAGGCUACAGAAACAGAGUUCGAGCCCUCUCCACACAGGGAAUUCUUCCUGAAGGUUCAUCCAGGGGACUCCAUCUAUCCCACAGCAUCCCACCUGCUGCUUUGGAGGGGGAAGGUCUCAAAAGCUGAAUUGCUCUAAAUUCACAUGCCAAAGCAGAAAUUAUUUUUCCUGACUGUGCCCUGCGCUCAGCUAUCAGUCUUGCCUGCAAUGCUGUACAGCAGAUAUUGCUGUGGAAAAGCCUGGGUGGUGAGAGACACAUAGUUUCUGUUCACCUGCUUGAGCAUCAAGUGGUGUCAACUGGAACGACUGGAGAAGGACAUCUCUUUUCCCCGUCCUCUGGUAUCAGGUUUAUGAACCUUUCUGCAGCAAGAUUUGAAACCACCAGAUUCCAGCUUAGAUCAAGGUCCCUAGGAUUCACUUGUGAUUUCCACAGCGUGGCUCCACUGCGCACAAGGAAAUUACAUGAGGUUCAGGCUGGAGUGAGUAAAGAAGACUUUGUCCCCAGCUAACACCUCAGGAACCUAAAUCUCUCCAAGUGUCGGGCUCCCCAGGGAGAGGUCAGCAGCUCCCAGGGUGCGUUGAGCAGAUUGGACAUCGAGACAUCUGCGUUGCGUUAGGGGAAACAUGAUCUUCCUGGAGGCUCCGCAGCUCUAACACAGCCUACAACUGGCAAUCUUCACUUGCAUUUUGCAAACCUGUGAAACAGAUUUGCUCCUCUUCCUGACUGACAACGUUUUUGAAAGGCGCAUUUUCCAACCCUUCGUGGCUGGCUUCGCUGGGCCCUUUGGAGAGCGGUCUGCUGUUUUCUGGUUGGAGUAUUUUUAAUAGUCUGCAUUAUUAAAUGGAAAACAAACUACAGGCAUGGCCAUUAAUUCUUCUUGGGAAAGGACAGCCUGCCUUCUUCAAGCACCCAGACCUGCUGCAGAAUAUGCGAGAUCUCCAUGUGCAUGUUAUGAAAUAUUUCAUUCCAAACACAAGUACAAGAUAAAUGCAGUUGGAGCGGAUCUUGACUUGCAUCAAGAAAUCAAAGCAGGCGUGAAGAGCUUUUUGCCCAACCUCACCCGAGAAAGGAAACCGAUUUAUAGAAAAUCCAGAAUAAGAUAUUGUUUCAACUGGAAAAAAGAAUUGGGGGACACGCCACCAUCAGGCUGUAAAACUGAUCCACCCAAGCUCAGGCCCAGCUGGGAGAGGGACGGCCCUUCUGCAAGAGAUGGAUCCUCUUCAGAAACAUAUUCCCUGCCUGAACAGAACAAAGGUCUGUGUCGUCUUCUUCAGGAGCAACCCCUGUUCAACUGGGAUGCCACAGAUUUGCCUCUGGGGCCAACCUGAGCUGCACUAGAACGUGGAGGAGGCUGGUUUCAGGUCAGAAAACAGAACAAGCGUGAUCUCAUCCCCAUGCCAGUUUCUCCACAUUACAAAGUCACCGCAAGACGUGACGACACAUUGUUCCUGCUCCGGGAGGAUGGGACUGAGAGCUUGUCUGCACCGCUUGGAAGAACAAACUGGAAGGAACAAACACACACAAGCAAUCUCGAGAUCUCAAGAUGAUUAACAACGCUGGAUAUUCAUCAACCUUAUUUCGCAAAUGGAGUAACCGUGAUGUAAUGAGGUGAAGAAAUUUGCUUGAUAUCAUUGAAUCAAUUAGUGUCCAUACAAGGAUUAGAACACAUUUCCUUAUUCCUGGUGCCAUCCGUAAUCCACUGCACAAGAGCGCCAAACCCACUUCUUAUUACCAUUCACAUGUUUCAACAGACUAGAGCAUCAAAGGACUAGGCAUUAAGUAUUCUUCACUUUUCAGAGUUUUUUUAACAAACUCUGUUAUGACUAAAAAGAGGACUUCAGCACCUGGAGAAAAAAGCCCAUGAUGUGCGCUCUUUCUACCUCUCCAUUCCCUCACUCCAUCCUCCUUAAGAAUCGUGAGUCCAACCAAGCGUUAAGGCCUGCAGUGACAUUGCUAUGACAGAUUUUUGCAGUUCAUGACACUUGCAGGAACAUAGCACAUAGCCAACACAGCUGUGAUACAGGAUUUUGCAUUUGUUCUUGUUGAAUUUCAUAAAGGCCACUGCUCCAGCCUCAGUAUUUCUGAGUGGCAGCUUUUUCCAGUGAUAAUGAUUUGGAUUGUGGCUUAUUGCAAUGGGAAUCCUUCAAGCACAAUGCCUUGUUUCAGGGGUGGCUUUGCUUGAGUAAGGACUGUUGUUAUUUAGCUUAGACUAUCAUGGCCUUUUAGGGACUGAAAUUCAGAUUGUUCAAAGGCUCAAACAAAUUCAAGACAAGGCUGAUAUUUACGCAGAGGUGAUAGGUUUUGGUAGUCCUUUUAAGCUUCAGGAAGCCACUGAGGAGAAUAAAAUAAUAAUACAGAUGCUAAGAUGGUAAGAAUGGUCUUUGUCUUAUUUAGUGAAUUUGGAAGCAGUCUGGACAUCAAAUUUCUUUGCCUCUGUUGUUUUCUUCUAAGCACCUUUACAAUGCACUAUUGUAUAUUUUUUAAAAACUCUGGUAAUGCUCAUAAAAUUUAUGGAGAAAAACAUUGCUGAAUUACUCUUUUCUUCUUGUUUUAGAACCUGCGAAAAUAAGCUUAUAAAACUCUAACACAUCUUUAACUUCCAUGCCUUCCAAGAUAUUCUGAUACUUUUUCUUUGCAACGCAGCAUGGAGGAGACUGGGGACAAGUGCUUUCAAGUUUACUCAUUAUCUGAGCUGUGAUGUCAGCUUGUAAUUCAGGUUCUGUGUCAUCUGGGAAAAGCUGUAGAAUGCUCAUCUCUGCCCCCUGCACCCACCCAGAUGUGGUAUCAGAUUCUGAUCGCUUUAAUCAUUGAAACUUUUUGCUAUUAUUUGAAUUAGGAUACUGUCUGGAUAGAUUCCUUACAGACCAGAAUGUCACUAUGCUAUAUGUUACCCAGCUUUUUCUGCCCUGUAUUUGCAGAUCCCCAAAUGGCUUAAUUUACCAUGUGUUAUUCCCUACAAACGUAACUUAAGAACAAAGGAAGAAGGAUUGUCCUGCAGUCAUGAUCUUACCAUCAGCGGUCUGUCAAAAAUUUUUUUUCUUUUACAGUUGAGUGGGCUAGUGCCAGUAACUACUGCAGAGAGGAAUUCGUCCGGGCUGGAAUGACGGUCAGUGGGGACUGUGAGGGUGUAGCGUUUCCUUUUAGUAUUUCAGCAAGAUGAGGCUGAAAGGUAUUAAGUCUAAUGAUUUACAAAGCAAAAACAGGGUUACAAGGUUCCUAUCUACGUGCAACUGUAUAUGAGUCAUGGAAGGAAGUAAAACACAUUACACAUUCUACAGGGUAAAGUCAUAUGAACUUGUCACUUGGGGUUUCCGGGUACACAACACAAGUCUCUGUCAGGUUCCUGUUACUGACUUUAUUUCACAUCCCACAGCUUGUCUUUGUGAACACUGGCCAAAGUAAAAUGCUAGAUCUAACUACCGUUUUCAGUUAUGCUGACGUGACCUAAAUGCACAUUCUAUGUAAAAACUCUGGCAAUUUGCUAGGAAGACAGUCCUCAAAGCGCUGUGCUCGAGAACUUUGAUGACCGAGCAUGAGACCACCAGCUCUGGGAAGCCACUGCAGCUCCAUGGAGGUCAGCAGCACUGACUGCCCGUGGAGAACCUUGCACCGGGGACCUAGCAGAUCUCCUGCUGCUGCCACACAGGCAAAGGAGGAAGCAGGAAUGAGAAAGCAAAUGCGAUAGGGAAAGAUAGAAACAGAAAAUGUGGGAGGGAACUGAAAGCAUCUCCCUUCUACUUGCACAACUUUAUCUCCAGCUUUUCAAGUUUGUGCUCCGCAUCACCUCUGUUAUAAGCAGAACCUUGUUUCCCUUCUUGUCUAAGAACACACAAUGAAGUUUAGGCUCAAAAAUCCUUUAGUAAUUUAACACUCAAAAUCACUUUAACCCCAUAUCCCAUGUGGUUUUAAUGCACCUGCAAAAAUACAGGUGCGGAAACAACAGACUAGUGCAACAUGUUUUAUACAAUGCACAUACACGCUCAAGACAGUUUACACAAUGCACUGUUUAGUGUUCAGAGUGGUAGGCAGGAGAUCAAGAAAUCCUAGAUUUUAAUUUUACUUUGGGCACUGACUUGGUCUGCAGCUUUGAGUGAAUCACUUGCAGUUUAUGUUUCAGUUUUAUUACCUGAAAAAAAUUGGGAGAUAUUACUUAUAAGCCUUGUAAAACUUCCAGGAAACUCCCCUAAAAAGCUAACUGUUAAUUACAUUUCAGCAGAAGCUGAAAUGUCUCCGUGUACCAUUCACAGAAGCAGCACUACAGAAACAGAAGUACACGAUACAGAAGAUAUGGCAUAUUUCUUUUAACAAUUGGGUGUAUGAUGGUGUUGAAGGCCUGGUUCUGUAAAGUACUCUGGAAGAAAAGUGGGAAUUUCCUUAGGCAUCGAGUUAUAGACUGAGAAAUUUGAACAUGCCAGCAUUCUUGAAAAAAGUAAUUUCAAAUACAUUAUUAUGUGCAUACUCUCAUGAUGCUAAUUUGAACAGCAUGCCUGCAUGUGCGUUUUAAGUUCAAAAACAUCUGAACCCCCUUUCUGCUACUUGCGUGUAGAUUGAUAUCGCUUAACCUUCAUAUUCUUACAGAGCUCACCCUGAACUUUCUGCCAUGCUAAAUCUAUCAUACUACAUAUUUACUUACCAUUAUAGAAGUCUUUUACUACAUAAGUAAAUACUGAAAUAUUUACACAGGUUAACCGUGAUAUUGGUUGACAUAGAAUAAAAAUACAGUUCCACUGCGCUGCUGUCCUGUAUUUCAGCAUCAUACUUCCACUGUCAUCUUUGUCUCCUCCAGUUUGUUCUGACCUAUGUGUACUCAUAAAGCCCUUGAUGAUCUGAUAAUCUACCAAGCAGAGCAGGCUGUGACUGGACGGAGUCACCCCUAGUAUCACCCUGGGAAGAAACUCUGAUUCACCGAAGCAGAAUACAGCCAUCAGACCAAGACUUACGCCCUGUGUGUCUGUCACUGAAGUGAACUGCUUGCCAUAGUCGCGCUCAGCCAGGGUAGAAGGGAGCAGGAGCAUGCCCACCGUAUCCCUCUCAUUGCUGGCAAGGCGAGCCCCAUGCUGAAACAGCACAAGGGCCACCCACAUUCUGACAGCAACAUUUUCUCAUGGCCUACAUCCUUUCCUUCAGAAAACUUCCAUUUAUAGUUCACAUCUUGUGCUCAGCUUGUUUUGCACUGGUUUGCGCAUACCAGCAUUCAGUUAGCAUCUCCAAAUAGUAAGGACUAUCAGGUAAGGGCCGUGCGACUUGCAUGCACGCUUUCCCAUCCGGGCGUUUGAGAUCUGGAGGAUUGCUGCAGACCAGACCUUCUUUCAGAAUUUUGUUUAAUCCACCGCAUAGCAUUGUGCAACCUGCAAUUCUGCAACAGAGAACGAUAUUGAUUUCACUUAUCGCCUCUGCCCUUUGUUAUUGGCACCAGAUGAGAAGAAAAAAAUGAGCUGUGAGAUAAUUAGAUGGAGACAUGUCCUAAAACUUAAAAAAACACCAGGGGAUCUUUGAUCUAGACAGUGCCUGAUUCAUAGUAAGAUAUGGAAACUUCUGAGUGCCUCACUGAGGGGAAAAAGUGAGAAGCUGAAUGGCUUUUGUAUGGUCAUCAUAAUGCAAACUGAAGGCGCUAAUGCUGAAAGAUUAGGAAAUUCAGAAAAAACACUUUUCCCUUUUCCUUCAGCUAAUCUUCUCUCUGUAUGACUGUAGCAUCUAAAAAUUGUGUAUGACUUAAUACUGAAAAAAAAGCCAAAGCCGCCUAUACUGGAGAGACCACAAUAAAAUUCAGCUUACAAGCUGAAUUAGUCAUAAUGUACAUUACUGUGUGCUGUUGAAGUGAGUUAUCUGUACAGUGUAGGUAUCAGCCAGUGCAAACAAAUACUCUCGUCCAAGGAGGGAAAUCUACACCGCUCGUGGUGUUCAAUAAUCAAACCCUGUCUGUCUACUACUUCAGCAGAGCAGAUGACUUUUUCUCCAUUUUCAAACAUUAUAUAAAAAUUGAAAAAGAAAAGAAAGGAAAAAUACAGGCCAAAUUUGUGCUGAUCUAGAAUAGGGUUGUUCAAGUGGUACAUUAACUCCAGAAACAUUUCAGAACCAUUCUCAAGGGAACCAUGCUUAUGUGAGUUGAAAUUGCUAUUGCCUCUAAAGAGGAAGGGAGAAAAGGUGAAAAAAAAAAAGAGGUGAAUAGACGAGUGUAAGAUUUACUAAUUCAGAGAGAAACAGUCCGUGUAUUUUCACAGAGUAAAUCUCCGUGGAGAUACUGGAUAAUACGUCGCAUAAUGACUGCCAAAUAUCUCAUUUUAUUAGGGUGGCCCAUUCUCAAAUGAAUGCAUAUUAUCUUUACAGGUUUGUGACCACAACGUUGAAGUAAAAGGAAUUUUGCAGUUCACUUUGGUUAGAGAGGGAUUCACCUCUAUUUUCUACUAUUUUUCCAAACCAUGUUCGCUUUUAAUAUAAAUGCAUCUGACACUUUUUCUAGUAUUUGGAAGAGUAUUAAAAGAACCAGUCAUAACAAUUUGAUGCCUGCAAUUUCAGGCGGCGUUCAGAGUGAUAUUUAAUCUCUGCGUCAUCUCCUGCCAAAACCAUACCAUAGCACAAUGCCAUAGUAUGGGAAAGGCAGUAAGAAUCCAUUAUCCUCACUGCAGUUCCAGCAACUGUUACUACAUAUGUUACGUUUGAACGCUCUGGUUAUGUAUUCAUCUCAAUUUCAGAUACAAUUAAAAACUUCUUGAGAAUUCCACAGGCUUUGUCACCAAUUCAGAUUUAAGUUAAUUCAUCAGCAGUGCCUGCACUUGACUAGCAUUUUAAUGAAAGAAAAAACCAUGAAUUUAUGCACCACGGAGUGCAAACCGUUCAGAAACAGCUUCUUCAUGGUAACAGACACUGCUAAAACUUGCUAAGUGCUUGCAGACACAUAUUUCCAAACUGGAUUUUGAUAGGAAUUCUGCUUGAGCAAGGAUUUCAAGCUUGAUUCCUGCAUUUCAUGUAUGCCUGCUAGUAUUAAUUUCAGUUACCCAACUCUGUACCUUUUUAAUAGAGAGCAAUACAACUUCGAGCCUUAAUUCCACAUGAUAUUUACACUGUUCAGUAAAUUUAUCCACAAACAAGGAAGUCAUAGUGUUGCUUCUAAUUUUAUCACUAACUGAACAACCAUGGAAGAACUGCACUUUUUGAUGUCACAGAACUACAUGUUUUGUAGUAUCAAUAAAAAUAAAUGCAUUUGUUUUUCCUAAACAAAACUCGAUUGUUUCUAUUUUAUGGCUUUGUAUGUCAGGCUACAGCAAAACAGCAACUUCCUCUUUUGAAAAGGAACGACAGCAAUUAAUUUUCUUAUGCAUCAAUACAGAAUUGUUACUAAUAAAAUGACCUAACACUUAACUCUGUUUA